rnacentral:rRNA from 1 species
UGAUCCUGGCUCAGGAUGAACGCUAGCGGCACGCUCAUACAUGCAAGUCGAGGGGCAGCAUAAAGUACUUGUACUUUGAUGGCGACCGGCGAACGGGUGCGUAACGCGUAUGCAACUUACCUUUUACUAGAGAAUAGCCAAGAGAAAUUUUGAUUAAUGCUCUAUACACUUCUUAACUCACAUGAGUUUUUAAGAAAAGCUCCGGCGGUAAAAGAUGGGCAUGCGUCCUAUUAGCUUGUAGGUGAGGUAACGGCUCACCUAAGCUCCGAUAGGUAGGGGUCCUGAGAGGGAGAUCCCCCACACUGGUACUGAGACACGGACCAGACUUCUACGGAAGGCAGCAGUAAGGAAUAUUGGACAAUGGAGGAAACUCUGAUCCAGCGAUGCCGCGUGAAGGAAGACAGCCCUAUGGGUUGUAAACUUCUUUUAUACAGGAAGAAACCUUUCCACGUGUGGAAAGCUGACGGUACUGUAAGAAUAAGGAUCGGCUAACUCCGUGCCAGCAGCCGCGGUAAUACGGAGGAUCCAAGCGUUAUCCGGAAUUAUUGGGUUUAAAGGGUCCGCAGGCUGUUUGUUAAGUCAGAGGUGAAAUCCUACCGCUCAACGGUAGAACUGCCUUUGAUACUGGCAAACUUGAGUUAUUGUGAAGUAGUUAGAAUGUGUAGUGUAGCGGUGAAAUGCAUAGAUAUUACACAGAAUACCAAUUGCGAAGGCAGAUUACUAACAAUUAACUGACGCUGAGGGACGAAAGCGUGGGUAGCGAACAGGAUUAGAUACCCUGGUAGU